rnacentral:rRNA from 1 species
GAUUAUGGCUCAGGAUGAACGCUAGCGGCAGGCUUAACACAUGCAAGUCGAGGGGCAGCGGGAUGUAGCAAUACAUUGCCGGCGACCGGCGGAUGGGUGCGUAACGCGUAUGCAACCUACCUUAUACAGGGGAAUAACCUUUCGAAAGGGAGACUAACACCCCAUGGUAUUGAUUUAAGGCAUCUUAGAUUAAUUAAAUAUUUAUAGGUAUAAGAUGGGCAUGCGUAUGAUUAGCUAGUUGGUAAGGUAACGGCUUACCAAGGCGACGAUCAUUAGGGGUUCUGAGGGGAAGGUCCCCCACACUGGUACUGAGACACGGACCAGACUCCUACGGGAGGCAGCAGUGAGGAAUACUGGUCAAUGGGCGCAAGCCUGAACCAGCCAUGCCGCGUGCAGGAAAGACGGCCUUAUGGGUUGUAAACUGCUUUUACAUAAGACUAACCGUAUAUUUGCGAAUAUACCUGAAUGUAUUAUGAGAAUAAGGAUCGGCUAACUCCGUGCCAGCCGCUGC